rnacentral:rRNA from 1 species
AAUUGCAGAAUCCCGUGAACCAUCGAGUCUUUGAACGCAAGUUGCGCCCGAGGCCACUCGGCCGAGGGCACGUCCGCCUGGGUGUCACGCGUCGUCGCCCCAAAGCCCCCCAAGCGGGGGGCCGGGGGCGGAUGUUGGCCUCCCGCGCGCUCCCGCUCGCGGUUGGCCCAAAAUCGAAGUCCCGGCGACGGUCGCCACGACGAGCGGUGGUUGAGAGACCCUCGGACACGGUCGUGCGCGUGCCUCGUCGCCUGUUCGGACCUCACGGACCCUCGAGCGCCGGUUUGCGGACGCUCUCGUUUGCGACCCCAGGUCGGGCGGGACUACCCGCUGAGUUUA